UUUUUUUUUUUUUUUUUUUUAUGUCCCCCAAGCUGUGUUUAUCUUUGGGAUUCUAGCACAGCACAUUCAGAUUACUAAAACAAACUAUCUCUGGCAACCAAGGAAGGAUUGGAUUCCUUGUACUGGAAAUAAUGGCCAGGGUUUCAAAGAAAAAGGGAAGGAAAGUUCCAGAGGAAAGGAAGAUAAAAACUGGGUUGAUGAGAGUCUGCCUUGUGGGUGGGUGAUGGUUCCUGAGUCAACAAACUGGCCAAACUUUCAGGGCUAGUAGAAAAAGCUAUAGAGGCUAUCUGCUGACUCACAACAGCAGAGAAUGUUGGCCAGCUUGGGACACAGGUCCGAGUGACAGAACAAGGCCCUUACUCAAAAAUGAAAUCUGAAGGACACAUGCUAUAGGGUUGGCUAAGCAGGGCAACGGUCAUUUUCUUAGGACUAGAGCACACUUGGGAGUGUUCAUGUCCAAGAGCCUUUGCUUCCAUCGGCUCCAAGGCCUUCCCUGCCUUCCCUUCCAUCAAUCUCUUCCUCCAACUUCAAAAUCCUACUGCACCAUCGCCCAGUCAAGACGACAAGAUCUACACCUUAGAAUUCUUCCUUCAGAUUGGGAAUUGUGAAGAGACAUUGGGGCUAGCCCUUUGCACACCUUCCAGGCAUUCUUGAGACACAACUGCUCCUGGCACACCAAUUACAUUAGAAAGGAGGAUGGGCAUUGAAGAAACUCAACAUGGAGUUUGCCUUCAACAUGGUAAAGCAGAAAAUCACCAAUCCUCCACAUCUGUUUGCCUCAUCUGGAAGAGCCUUCCAGUCUCCGCAACAGAAGGCUCAUGCAAACUGGCCAAUAAAAUUCCUGAAAUUAUCAAGACAUGUGAUACUUGGGCAAAGAUUAAGAUAAGAUUUUCAUGGUUAAAUUCCUUCCACAUACACACACACAUUCUCUCAGAACACCACCGGUUACAGCCAAAAAUUUCAGGUAAAUCAGAAAAUGCCACACAGAGAGGGAUUGCAGUGAUUUAUUCCAUAAACAGCCAGUUGCUACACUGGAAUCCCUGACUCACUCAGCUUUGGGAUAGAAGUCUGGGCUCCCAUUUGCAUUCAUUUAAGUUGGAAUUAGCUGUUGGCCAGCCUGCCAGAGAGCACCCUACAUUGAACCCACAGCCCCCAAGCUUUCUGUAGAGCCCAAAGCAACAGAGUCACUGUAGAAAUGUAUUAUUCUUUCAGUUCCAUAAUUGUCAUGAUGGGUGAAAACCUGCUCUGUAAACCUAGAGACUGUAUACCAAAGACUCUGUGUGUGCUGGCAGGGUCCUCAUGUGUUAGCAGGGGAGUCAGAGUCCCUUCUGAAGAUUCUUAGCCACGUUAAUGAAGAAAUUAAAUCUGGAGAACAAUUUUGAUGGAGGUAAAAAGCAAGCAAAACAAAAAAAAUAAAAAAAAGAGAAACAAAAACAAAAAAAACAAAAACAACUCCUGGGCAGGUGCUGUACAUCCCAGUAGCUGCCCAGAGAAGAAAGAUGGAGCAGAGAAAAGGAGAGAAAAUCUAUGCCGUUUGAGUUAAGUCAACACGGAGGUCAGUUAUGCGGUGGACAAACAGCCACAUGGUAGGCAGGGGAGCUAUAGAGAAAAGAAGGAAGCUGAAAGUAACAACAAAAAACAAACAGGCAUACUUAGAUUCUAGUCAGCAUCUAAAAGAUAGAAAAGAAGAAAAAAAUGAAAAAAAGAAGUUGUAUCUUCUUAAAUCGGGACGAACAACACUUAAGCGAUCUGACAGAGCCUCACGGCGGGCCUGGAGCAGAUGCACAGAGAGUGGGAAUUCUGAGAAGGAAAAGUAUGCUCAUCUCACUGAAGAGACAAUCGGUCCUUUUAUCCACUUCAGCUUUACUUGAGAUGGACCUACCUUCCUGAGGGGUGCUCCAUUGGCCAGCUGAUUACUGGAAUGGAUUAGCUCAGACAACACAUAUCUCCACCCAGAGGUAGAUUUCAUUCCUUACUUUGACAGCCGUCGACGGAGCAAUCUAAAUGCUGGCAGCCGAGCUAAGAACUUUGUGCAUACCAUUGCCCCACUGCCACGUAAGCCGCUUCCCAUUGUCUGAUCUGCUUUCAAUGUAGGAUUUGCAGCAGAAGGUUUAAGGGCUUCGCUGCUGUGCUUUGCAACAUUUCUACAAAGCCCUUUCUGAGAACAUGUCUGCAGUGAACGCUCUACCUCAGUUCAGCUAGCCUCAAGGAGCAGUUUUGCAAGAUGGCUGGCUGACUCUGGGUGGAGUAGUUGCUUCCAAGCCAGUGUGAGUUUAUUGGCUCACUUGGGAAUGGAUCUGAAUCUUGGACUCAUUAGCAUAAUGCUUUAAGGAAACAAAUGGGAAAGCCAUAGUCAUUGUUAUAAAUAAUCUCCCUAAUUAUCCAAAGCCGCAUGCUAGGAAGAAAAUGGAUAGUUAAUUAAAAGCAGAAAAUGUCUCCUCCUUAUGGUAUAUGGAAUGAAACUAUUUAGCUGUAUUUUCCUUUUCUUUCUCCUCUGGAACUAUAUGUUUUCCAGUCUUGCUAAAUAGUCUAGAUUCUCAAAAUUCAUAUUAUUUUGCUUUCCAAUGACUCUAAUCCAUUUAAAUGCCAGAACUUUGUUGUGAAAUCAACACGAAAGAGCAAGAGGAAGCUCUCUGUGUUGCACAGAUGUUGUGUUCUCCUCAGACAAUUUCUCACAGACCCUUCAGCAGCAAGUCCUCCCAGCACCAGGUCAAAGGACUCGAUUAAACAUGCAGCUUCUACAUAAGGUGCUGAUGGCUUCUCCUUGCUGAGAAGAAAACAACAGGACCACCGGAAUUAGAGCUUGUUACAGCCCAACCACUCCUGCUUCAUACUAAAGAACGCAGCAAUGGCUGCUUGGCAGAAUUAUUCUCUCAGGCAACUGGUGCCCAUCAGAAGAUUGAAAGUAGGAGUUGACACUGGGGAAACAGAACUCCUUUUGUGUCCUGAGCCUGCAUUAUUUUACUGCCCAGGGAAGGACAACAGAGACCCCUGUGCACUUUGCUUGGUUGUAACUAAAUUUCUAGUCUUUUGCUUUUUCCAUUGAUGGCCUAUGUGUCUAGCCAUGGAGCAUACAGUUACAAAACUUCUUUUUGCUGCUAUUGGCUGAAAAGUCUUCACUUUAAUAACUAUCAGGUCCUAUUUCUAUGCUUCAUUUAGUCCAACAAUGUCUUCCUCCUGGCAUUCUUUUAUACUUAGUUUUCAUAAGUAAUAAGAUUGUGAUUUAAAAUCUUUAUAAAAGUACAGGGAAGGGGUUUAGAGAUUAAGUGGUUGAAAGCAACACUGCAUAUACUUCAGCUUCAUCAGAGCAAGAGGAAAUUGCUCAUUCCUCCCAGCUUGUUUUGGUAUUCUACAGCAGGAUACCAAGUGGUUGCUGCCACUUGGAAAUUGGCACUACUACUGAGAAGUGUUUCAAUUGCAGGCAAGAGGUUGUGCAGGUUUUCCCCCUACAUGAGUAUGUGAUUCAGAGUUAGAAAUACAGUCAUUCUAAAGACAAAUUUAGUGCUACAAGGUGACCUCUUGUUGCAUCAGUUUUCUGCUUCCAGACAGAGGUAGAGGCUCACUAAAUAAGGGUUACAUAUGAAAGGCCAUACCCAAAACAUACAUGAAACAGCUUGUUGGUUUAAGACAGGGCCUCAGGGAACCCAGGCUCGUCUGGAGCUCACUAUGUAGCCAAUGAAGAGCUCUCUCCUGAUCUUUCUGUCUCAACUCCCAGAUGCUGGCACUGCAGGUAUGUACACCAUGCCCAUCUUGGAAAACAGCAUUUUUAUGAAAUAAACUUCCCAGUGUUUCUCAUACCAAAUAUAGAUAAGACUUAAACAUGAGCUUUUGUCACAAAAGCUCAGUAUCAGUUUUUAGGAUAGUAUAUGGCUAGGGCAGCCCUCUUAAUGUGGCAAAGUAACAGCACCCAGAUGUUAGUCACUCAGCAUCUCCACUCCAAUAAAUAGAUGUAUGUGAAGUCACACCCUCAACUCUAUGUCAGGGACAGCGUGUGAAAUCACAGGCUUCUAGUUUUCACAUAACCCUGCAAGUGUUUUAUUAUCAGCAUAGUUUUAUUGGUGAGAUUCAACCCAUAAAGAAGAACACAUCCUCCAGGAAACAAUAGAAGAUAAAAUUUAAGAUUGCCCAUAUCACAGGCCAGCUACCCCCAGAAUAAAAUAAGAGGCUAAGAGCCAAGAGCAAAUCCUUUGGGGGGUGCAGGUUCUACAGGGGUAGUAGAAGGAUACGGCAGUCACAUACCACAGAGGAGCAACACACCAAAGAACAUCUUGACUACAGUAGUAGGAAGUGCCCUUUCCUUUUUUACCUCUAGGUCUCGGCUCUAAAGAAUCACUGAUUUUAUUUGUUAAUUUCUGUUAUUCAUUGGGAAGCAAAGUAUCUUAGAGAGCUAAACCAAUCUACUAAAAAUUAAAAGCCACUUGCCAUUUUUUCUCAAGGAGACAAUUUUGUUUCAAAUAUAUAGCUUCUACUCUAUAUUGUACACACUAAGAAUAGAAUGAUGAAGUUUUUAAUGACUAAUACAUAAGAUACAAUGAUUGAAUACUCAUUAAUUAUGGUUUUCAACUAUAUUCCCUUGAUAGUGAUUGUUCCUACAAAAGCAAGAGGACAUAAGAACAGAAAUAAUUUUAAUAUGCUUCCAAAAAGUAGUUUUCACAGCAGAAUGGGUUUGUGUGAGCCCUGGAUAGCACUAAUUUGAGAGCUAAACUAAUUGGAUUAUUAGAUUUGAUUGUCUACUUGUAUACCAUGCUGUCUGACUCUUUAAGACUCUUGUACAGAGAGAUCUACCAUGCACAAACAAGUAUGGGUUAGCAAAAACAAGCCAAAAUUUGAUGUUCAGCUAAGGAUUCUAAUGUUCCGAGGCCUUAUCUAAGGACUCAGUGAGAUUCAUGCUUAUGCUGUGAAUCCUUCUACACAUUUUGGGAAAUAAGAACUAACAGUAACACCUUAAAUAUAAACAUUUUUCACAGUAUUAGUGAACACUGUUUACUCAUCAUCAUGAACCUUAAUAUAUCAUAAACAAUAAAGGCAGGAACAUGUGACCAGAGGGUGACUGGACAGGGCAAUGACCGUAGAGUGAAGAAGUACUUUAUAGGCCAGUGAAGAAACAGGUUUUUAAAGGACAGCACUUUAGAAAAAAAUACCAGGAGAUUUGGUGAUAUAUUGUUUAUGAUCUAAUAAGGCUUGCCUAGAGAUCAGAAUGUAAAACUAGCCACAACCAUAGAGGCCAGGCAGUGGUGGCCACAUCUUUAACCCCAGCACUCCAGAGACAGAAGCAGACAGAUCUCUGUGAGUUUGAGGCCAGACUGGGCUACAUGAGAAUGAAUCAGUCUGAAAGACAAACAGAGCUCACACAUUUAAUCCCGAACUAGAGAGAAUAUAAGGAGCUCAGUCUGAGGUUUUUGGUGGAGAGCAUUGCAGUCUAGGAGUCGGAGGGUUCAUGGAGCCAAGAUUGCCCUUUCAGUCUGAAGUAGAGGUGAAAGCCAGUGCCUAGCUGCUUUGCUUCUCUGAUCUUUCAUCUUGAACCCCAGUGUCUGUCUCUGGGUUUUAUUUUUCAUGCUACAAGGAGAAAUCUUUAUAACACAUUAUUUUUGCCAUGGGUCAGUUUUAUUCAGAGAAUUAUAGACAUGUUAAUGUUUGCAAAAGUGAAAUAUGUCAGUUAAAAAUCACAGAACCUCUGGAAAUUUGUUUUCUGAUAUAACAAGAAAUCAGGAACUAGAUAGUUCGAGAGUUAGCUCAUUUGCAAUACAAUGAAGUUGGUCCCUUGAAGGUUUUUCAGCCUUAAAAGUCAGUGUUCCCCUGAAGAGUUUGAAAACAUCGCAGUGGUUCACAAGCUUCUUGGCAUUUGUACAGAUUUAGUAGAUUUUCAAGAAAUAAACAUAUCUGUAUUUGA